GCAGGCCUAACACAUGCAAGUCGAACGGCAGCGGGGGGUAGCUUGCUACCUCGCCGGCGAGUGGCGGACGGGUGAGUAAUGCCUGGGGAGCUGCCCAAUCGAGGGGGAUACCAGUUGGAAACGACUGCUAAUACCGCAUACGCCCUGAGGGGGAAAGGUGGGGAUCUUCGGACCUACCGCGAUUGGAUGCGCCCAGGUGGGAUUAGCUAGUUGGUGAGGUAACGGCUCACCAAGGCGACGAUCUCUAGCUGGUCUGAGAGGAUGACCAGCCACACUGGAACUGAGACACGGUCCAGACUCCUACGGGAGGCAGCAGUGGGGAAUAUUGCACAAUGGGGGAAACCCUGAUGCAGCCAUGCCGCGUGUGUGAAGAAGGCCUUCGGGUUGUAAAGCACUUUCAGUCAGGAGGAAAGGUGGCUAGCUAAUACCUAGUUGCUGUGACGUUACUGACAGAAGAAGCACCGGCUAACUCCGUGCCAGCAGCCGCGGUAAUACGGAGGGUGCAAGCGUUAAUCGGAAUUACUGGGCGUAAAGCGCACGCAGGCGGCUUGUUAAGUCAGAUGUGAAAGCCCCGGGCUCAACCUGGGAACUGCAUUUGAAACUGACAAGCUAGAGUCUUGUAGAGGGGGGUAGAAUUCCAGGUGUAGCGGUGAAAUGCGUAGAGAUCUGGAGGAAUACCGGUGGCGAAGCGGCCCCCUGGACAAAGACUGACGCUCAGUGCGAA
rnacentral:rRNA from 1 species